rnacentral:rRNA from 1 species
UGGGGAAUUUUGGACAAUGGGCGAAAGCCUGAUCCAGCAAUGCCGCGUGAGUGAAGAAGGCCUUCGGGUUGUAAAGCUCUUUUGUCAGGGAAGAAACGGUGAGGGCUAAUAUCUCUUGCUAAUGACGGUACCUGAAGAAUAAGCACCGGCUAACUACGUGCCAGCAGCCGCGGUAAUACGUAGGGUGCAAGCGUUAAUCGGAAUUACUGGGCGUAAAGCGUGCGCAGGCGGUUAUGCAGGACAGAGGUGAAAUCCCCGGGCUCAACCUGGGAACUGCCUUUGUGACUGCAUAGCUAGAGUACGGUAGAGGGGGAUGGAAUUCCGCGUGUAGCGGUGAAAUGCGUAGAGAUCUGGAGGAAUACCGGUGGCGAAGGCGGCCCCCUGGACAAAGACUGACGCUCAGGUGCGAAAGCGUGGGGAGCAAACA